CAUUAAACGCCUAAAACAUACGCGACCCCCUGUUUUAGGAGAAGGGCACAAAGUCUCUUCCUUUACCAUCCCGCACGUUCCGCCCCGGGUCGGGUCAAUGUCAAUAACGACGGGAACUGUUUAUAAUCAUCCAAGUUCACACCAACUACUUGAGAGAUCUCUUAAUUCAAACUGUUGAGAUACAUUUUUAGGGUUUUAAUCAAAAUCACGUGGAGAUGAUUGAGAAUGAGAGCUCUUCCUUUGAUUACCGGAGCAUUCGAGAAGUCGCUUGCAACGCCGCCGCCGGAGCCACCGCGGGGGCGAUCGCGGCGACUUUUGUUUGUCCAUUGGAUGUGAUCAAAACGAGGUUACAGGUUGUUGGUCUCCCGGAAGCUCCAGCCUCGGGGAAGAGAGGUAGCGUGAUCAUUACAAGCCUACAGGGUAUAGUUAAGAAGGACGGUUUUAGGGGAAUGUAUCGAGGUCUUUCACCAACCAUCAUUGCUCUCCUUCCCAAUUGGGCUGUUUACUUCUCUGUUUAUGGGAAGCUAAAGGAUGUACUUCAGUCAAGUGAUGGCAAGCUUAGUGUUGGGGCAAACAUGGUAGCGGCUGCUGGUGCCGGAGCUGCCACUUCUAUUGCAACUAAUCCACUUUGGGUUGUCAAGACAAGACUAAUGACACAAGGAAUUAGGACGGAUGUGGUACCUUACAAAAGCAUUAUAUCUGCUUUUAGUAGGAUUUGUCAUGAAGAAGGAUUGCGAGGGCUUUACAGUGGCAUUUUACCUUCUUUGGCGGGGAUUAGCCAUGUUGCAAUCCAGUUUCCAGCAUAUGAAAAGAUCAAGCAAUACAUGGCAAACAUAGAUAAUACAUCCGUCGAUAAUCUAAGUCCUGGCAGUGUAGCUAUUGCCUCUUCAAUCGCGAAAGUACUCGCCUCUGUUUUGACUUACCCACACGAGGUAAUUAGAGCCAAACUUCAAGAACAAGGGCAAAUGAGAAACGCUGAGACUAAGUAUUCCGGAGUUGUUGAUUGCGUCAAGAAGGUGUUUAGAAGCGAAGGGAUUCCUGGAAUGUACCGUGGAUGUGCCACUAAUCUAUUAAGGACAACUCCAUCAGCAGUUAUUACAUUUACAACCUAUGAGAUGAUGCUGAGAUUUUUCCGACAAGUUGUGCCACCAGAGACUAAUAAAUCAUACAAUCACAAUAGAGAAGAAGAAACGAAAAGUUUAGUUAGUCGACAGGGAGCAGAAGAAGAAGAGAGCUUGAGAGAAUCACAAACUCAAUCUAAUAAGAUCAACACUUCACCUAUCCCUCUUGGAAGCAAAUAAGGCUUGUUUUCAGACUGGAGACAUGCUCAUAGUCCUAAGUUUUCUUGUUUCAGUUGAGUGAUUUUUCCCCUUGCGGUGAUCAAGUUGUAACCUGAUCUCGUCGUUCUAACAAAUGUUGUGAGAUGUAUAGAAAGCGAUUUGAGUAUUUCAAAUGUAGAUGCUUUGGAUGUAAUUUUGUGGACUUUAAUGAUAGAGGCUGCAAGAAAAGGAAGAGGAUUUGGUUUCCUUGUUCUUUCUCAGUACUGGGGGCGCUUCACCUACCACGAGGUAACAGAAUCUUCUUAUCGGGCUUUAAGCAGAACUAAUGGAAGGCACCUGGUUCUGGUUAGAGAGAUUUUUUUUACAGCCUUUGGAAUCUUUUCUUUUAUACCAAUGAUGCAUGCAAAUUAGUUUCUGGUUGACUCAGUAGAUGCUAUUGGCAUCAUUAUGGAGCUGAUUGGUGCGAGUAAUCUUAGUCAAGCAAACUCUUAGUCAAUUUUUUUUUUUUUUUGUUCAUUUGAGUUAAUAUUACAUACAGAUACAGUCACAUAUAUUGAGUAUGGUAGACAAAAUUAGACAUAGAAAAUUCGUGAUUAGUAGUUCAAGUUAAGUCA